ACUGUCAGCUGGAUCACAAAGGAGAAUUUCCCCCCGCAUAUCUGAUACUCUUUGGUCACUGAAGUUCAGCUACUUUUCCUUAUCUGGAAUCCUUCAGUGGCUAUUUAUUCCCUUCCACCUGUGACUAAAUGGACCUUUAAUCAAUUUGCAUCGUUUAGAAGCAAAGCUACUCUGGAAAGGAUGGUGUUCCUGUGCACUUAGCGCUGGUGGAGAUAUACUGCAGCCUUCCAGGGAGCCGCCGGGUUCAUAAUGGAAGGCAUGACAGGCACUUUAUGACCCUGAAGCGCUGUGAUUACAAGCUCUGAGCCUGUGUGAGGCAGGUAGGGAAGAUCCAUAUGUCAGGACAGCACAGCCAGGCCCCUCGUUGGAGCACUGCUAUCAUUUGGCUGGAAGCUGCAGAGCAGUUCCAAAGAACCAGCUCGGGACAGUAAAUGACUCCCACAGUCAAACUGAGCAUGCUCACCUCUCUGGUUGCCACACAUCGAUGUGCAGGCUGGUCCCUGGAUCCCCAACAGGUCUGACUGGUGCAGUUACCUAGCUUGCGUGGGCUGGAGUGAAUUUGGAUUUCCCAGUCUUCCAGGUGAUUAACCUGAUCUGCUGUGUUCUCCUUUUCUCCAGUUACGGCAGACUGUGAUAUGCAGAGGGAAGCAACACUUCUAGGGAAGAAUGUGGUCCAGACCACGUGGAGGUGGAAAUCACCAAGGCCUUGACUCCUCCUUCCCACUCAUUCUUCCAUGUCCUCACCUGUGAACUGGGAGAAUUCGGAACUGAAGUAAGUAAAGAUGGUGGAGUUCUUGAAGACAGCGGAAUCACUGGCCAGGAGGAACUCACUUCAGCGAUGGAGAGGACACUGAUGGAAACGGCACCCGGGCUCAGCGGCAGGCAGGAGAUGGCGAGGCAGCUCAGAAAUACCCUCAGAAUACUUCUCAACAUACAGCAUAGUCAACUCACUCCAAUCAAUUGGUGCUGACCCAACAAAUGAAACCUGCCCGCCAUGUCUGGCUCGAGACAGUAAAAGCAAGAGUGUGGCCAAGAGUCACAUGCAUAAGAAUUCAUUACAACAAUACAUCAGCUCGAUUUAAUAAGACAUGCUUGAAUUACUGCUGACAAUUAUGAAAGAAUACAAAGAGUAUCUGGUGAGAAUAAUCAAAUGUUGAAUGUGUUGCCUUUGAUCAUUUGUUUGUUUUACUUUACAGCCUAAGUAAAGCUGAUUAAAAUCUACAAGUUGAUUAAAACAGUCUAUUUGUUUUAAAACUUGUUUAAAUAAUCUACUUGUUUUAAAAAAUAAAACAAGUCAAU
rnacentral:lncRNA from 1 species